rnacentral:antisense_RNA from 1 species
GACAAUGGGCGGGCCGUGGCAGGGAGACCUUCGGGGUCUGCCGGUUUGGUCUCGGCGCCGGUCUGCCAACCCUGUCAUCGUGCCCGCUCACCGAC